UACGUAGGGUCCGAGCGUUGUCCGGAAUUAUUGGGCGUAAAGGGCGCGUAGGCGGUGCGGUAAGUCUUUUGUGAAAUCUCCGGGCUCAACUCGGAGUCUGCAGGAGAAACUGCCGUGCUUGAGUGUGGGAGAGGUGAGUGGAAUUCCCGGUGUAGCGGUGAAAUGCGUAGAGCUCGUGAGGAAGACCGGUGGCGAAGGCGGAUCUCUGGACGGCCCCUGACGCUGAGGCGCGAAGGCUAGGGGAGCAAACGGG
rnacentral:rRNA from 1 species